UGUCGUCCAGGGAUCAACCUUGUUUUUGCUUGGUGCACUUUCUGGUUUGACAGGUCAGCAUCAAUUUUGACCAUUGGAAAAAGGCUAAGGGAAUGUGGCAUCUUGGAUGUGUUAUAGCCCUUGGUCGCAUACAAUGGUUGGGAUUGAGGAACUCAGCACGCCGAAAGGCCGGGUUUUAAACCACGUUCGUGCUUAGGAUGCUGGCAAUAUGGCUUUAAUCGACCCGUCUUGAAACACGGACCAAGGAGUCUAACAUGCCUGCGAGUGUUUGGGUGGAAAACCCGAGCGCGUAAUGAAAGUGAAAAGUUGAGAUCCCUGUCGUGGGGAGCAUCGACGCCCGGACCAGACCUUUUGUGACGGUUCCGCGGUAGAGCAUGUAUGUUGGGACCCGAAAGAUGGUGAACUAUGCCUGAAUAGGGUGAAUCCAGAGGAAACUCUGGUGGAGGCUCGUAGCGAUUCUGACAUGCAAAUCGAUCGUCAAAUUUGGGUAUAGGGGCGAAAGACUAAUCGAACCAUCUAGUAGCUGGUUCCUGCCGAAGUUUCCCUCAGGAUAGCAGAAACUCAUAUCAGAUUUAUGUGGUAAAGCGAAUGAUUAGAGGCCUUGGGGUUGAAACAACCUUAACCUAUUCUCAAACUUUAAAUAUGUAAGAACAAGCCGUCUCUUGAUUGGACCGCUUGGCGAUUGAGAGUUUCUAGUGGGCCAUUUUUGGUAAGCAGAACUGGCGAUGCGGGAUGAACCGAACGCGAGGUUAAGGUGCCGGAAUUCACGCUCAUCAGACACCACAAAAGGUGUUAGUUCAUCUAG
rnacentral:rRNA from 1 species